UACGGCCUCAUCACGUUGAAACACCCGUUCCCCAACGAUCAUCGAAGUUAAGCAACAUCGAACCUGGUUCGUACCUUGAUGGGUGACCAUUUGAGAAUACCAUGUGCUGUAAG